rnacentral:rRNA from 1 species
UACGGAGGGGGCAAGCGUUAUUCGGAAUUAUUGGGCGUAAAGGGCAGGUAGGCGGCUUCGUGUGUCUCUUGUGAAAGCCCUCGGCUCAACUGAGGAAUUGCAAGGGAAACUACGGAGCUUGAGUCCGGGAGAGGAGAGUGGAAUUCCCAGUGUAGCGGUGAAAUGCGUAGAUAUUGGGAGGAACACCGGUGGCGAAGGCGGCUCUCUGGACCGGUACUGACGCUGAUCUGCGAAAGCUAGGGGAGCAAACGGG